GAGUUUGAUCGUGGCUCAGAUUGAACGCUGGCGGCAGGCCUAACACAUGCAAGUCGAGCGGUAGAGAGAAGCUUGCUUCUCUUGAGAGCGGCGGACGGGUGAGUAAUGCCUAGGAAUCUGCCUGGUAGUGGGGGAUAACGCUCGGAAACGGACGCUAAUACCGCAUACGUCCUACGGGAGAAAGCAGGGGACCUUCAGGCCUUGCGCUAUCAGAUGAGCCUAGGUCGGAUUAGCUAGUUGGUGAGGUAAUGGCUCACCAAGGCGACGAUCCGUAACUGGUCUGAGAGGAUGAUCAGUCACACUGGAGCUGAGACACGGUCCAGACUCCUACGGGAGGCAGCAGUGGGGAAUAUUGGACAAUGGGCGAAAGCCUGAUCCAGCCAUGCCGCGUGUGUGAAGAAGGUCUUCGGAUUGUAAAGCACUUUAAGUUGGGAGGAAGGGCAGUAAAUUAAUGCUUUGCUGUUUUGACGUUACCGACAGAAUAAGCACCGGCUAACU
rnacentral:rRNA from 1 species